rnacentral:rRNA from 1 species
UACAGAGGGGGCGAGCGUUGUUCGGAAUUACUGGGCGUAAAGGGCGCGUAGGCGGCCUCUUAAGUCGAACGUGAAAUCCCCGGGCUCAACCCGGGAACUGCGUCCGAUACUGGGGGGCUUGAAUCCGGGAGAGGGAUGUGGAAUUCCAGGUGUAGCGGUGAAAUGCGUAGAUAUCUGGAGGAACAUCAGUGGCGAAGGCGACACCCUGGACUCAUACUGACACUGAGGUGCGAAAGCGUGGGGAGCAAACAGG